CGGGUGGAGCCUCCACAGGUGCAAAUAUUGGUGUUAGUAGCAAAUAUUCAAAUGGGAACUUAGAAGGCCGAAGUGGCGAAGGGUUCCAUGAG
rnacentral:miRNA from 1 species